rnacentral:rRNA from 1 species
GAUGAACGCUGGCGGCGUGCCUAAUACAUGCAAGUCGAGCGAACAGACGAGGAGCUUACUCCUCUGACGUUAGCGGCGGACGGGUGAGUAACACGUGGAUAACCUACCUAUAAGACUGGGAUAACUUCGGGAAACCGGAGCUAAUACCGGAUAACAUGUUGAACCGCAUGGUUCAACAGUGAAAGACGGUCUUGCUGUCACUUAUAGUUGGAUCCGCGUCGCAUUAGCUAGUUGGUAAGGUAACGGCUUACCAAGGCAACGAUGCGUAGCCGACCUGAGAGGGUGAUCGGCCACACUGGAACUGAGACACGGUCCAGACUCCUACGGGAGGCAGCAGUAGGGAAUCUUCCGCAAUGGGCGAAAGCCUGACGGAGCAACGCCGCGUGAGUGAAGAAGGUCUUCGGAUCGUAAAACUCUGUUAUUAGGGAAGAACAAAUGUGUAAGUAACUAUGCACGUCUUGACGGUACCUAAUCAGAAAGCCACGGCUAACUACGUG